rnacentral:rRNA from 1 species
UACGAAGGGGCUAGCGUUGUUCGGAAUCACUGGGCGUAAAGCGCACGUAGGCGGAUUUUAAGUCAGGGUGAAAUCCCGGGGCUCAACCUCGGAACUGCCUUUGAUACUGGAGAUCUUGAGUCCGGAAGAGGUAAGUGGAACUGCGGAGUGUAGAGGUGAAAUUCGUAGAUAUUCGCAAGAACACCAGUGGCGAAGGCGGCUUACUGGUCCGGAACUGACGCUGAGGUGCGAAAGCGUGGGGAGCAAACAGG